UUGUUUAUUAUUCCACAUUAUCUCCACCCAGCAAUUAGCACUCAGAUCAGCAUAGAUUAGCUCCAAGGUGAACUUCAGACCAGCAGUCAAGUAAGCAAUACAGUCAAGAAACUGCCAAAGAGCCAUUAGCGAACAGCCCAACCUAAGACAGCCCUCACCCACCCAGACAGGCAAGACACCAGAUUAUAAACUGACAGCAAAUAGCCCUCCUUAUUAGCACUGAUGAUGUUACCUAGUUAGGGUAAUGAAAUGUCUGCAAGAAAACAAACAAGCUCAGAGAGCACCAAGGACGCCUCAGAAAAAGAAAUGGUUGUAAUGAUGAAAUUAGGAAAAACAGCAAGAAAAGCAUGUUGAAUAGUGAUACAUUACUACCAUAACAGAGAGGAUUCUGGAAAAUGAGGGAGCGACAGGGAGACUUAAUAUUCUAUGCAUGCUUCCUUGGGAGAAUAAACUAACUGAGCUCAGAAGAAAUGCAUAAAGGAGGGUUGCCAUUUUAUGCGUAUUUGCUUAGAAGUUAGACUCAUUCAACAGAAGGUCUCGUUCCAAAAACACACGCAUUAAAUCUGGUUGUACAUAUGCGAUGCUACGUGCGAUUUUACUUGGGAAUGACUCUGAUAUGCUCAGGGGGACUACAGAAAAAACAAGCAUGUGCUUCACUUUGUUUCUGCUGGGCACACCCAGUACUCUAGUCUCCGCCUCGUUUCUUGAACAAGGAGAGAAUGGGCGUAUUGGAUGGACUGACGAAAAGUCAGGCGGGCAGGUCUUUCUAGGUGGAGCCAUCUAGUCUGCUUUCCAUUCCGCGUUUUUCAACUCAGCAUACUAUAAGUUAGAUCCAGCUCCGGGUUUUGCAGGCUGCCUACAGCUGUUUAGCGCAUCUGGUCAGCCGCGCCUUUCCCCUUCUCCUCCUCUUCCUAGUGUAGGCACACCACAGCUGCUAGUACCCAAGAAGGUGCCAUGUCCGGGGAAGAAGCUGUCGGGGAUGAUGCGGGAGCCCCUCAAACGAGCACUGCUGCUCCUCCCGCAGACCAGCAGCGGAACGAAGAAGCAGUGGCCGAGGCACCAGCGACUGACGGGGAAGGAAAAGCUGCUGGGGGGACGUCGGAGGAGGCGCCUGCCGUUUCUACCAGUACCGCUGCUGCUGGACGCCAGUACAGGGCAUUGGUGCUCACCGGCUUUGGUGGUUACGAGAAAGUGAAGGUGCAGAUUCGGCAGCUGCCUCAAGCGGAACCCAGUCCGGGCGCUGGCCAGGUCUGCGUGCAAGUCCGGGCCUGCGGGCUCAAUUUUGCUGACCUGCUGGCUCGCCAAGGGCUCUACGAGAGGCUUCCCUCGCCGCCCGUUAGCCCUGGCAUGGAGGCGGCGGGAAUCGUCCUGGCCGUGGGCGAGGGCGUCUCCAGCCCAAAGGUUGGUGAUAAGGUAAUGGUGAUGGCCCGGUCAGGUCUCUGGCAAGAAAUUGUGACAGUCCAAGCCAAUCAGACUUUUCUCAUGCCAGAAGGAAUGAGCUUUGAGGAAGCAGCUGCCUUUCUGGUCAAUUACAUCACUGCCUACAUGGUUCUCUUUGACUUUGGCAAUCUGCGCCCCGACCAGAGUGUCCUUGUCCACAUGGCAGCAGGUGGUGUGGGGACUGCAGCAGUCCAACUCUGCAAAACCGUGGAAAAUGUCACCAUUUUUGGCACAGCAUCUUCCUCCAAGCAUGAAGCCCUCAAAGAGAAUGGGGUGACUCACCCUAUUGAUUACCGGGCAGCUGAUUAUGUGGCUGAAGUCCGGAAAAUUUCUCCCAAAGGUGUAGAUGUUGUUUUGGACCCCUUAGGAGGUUCAGAUACCACAAAAGGCUUUCAUCUCCUGAAACCAAUGGGCAAGCUGGUCAGUUAUGGUGUAGCCAACUUGCUAACAGGACAGAGGAAGAACCUGAUGGCUAUGGCAAAGACCUGGUGGAAUCAGUUUAGCAUCAAUGCCUUGCAACUGCUUCAUCUCAACAAAGCAGUUUGUGGCUACCACCUGGGCUACCUUGAGGAGGAAAUGGAGCUUUUAACUGCUGUGGUGACCAAGCUAAUUGCUCUCUACAAUCAGGGCAAAAUCAAACCAAAGGUGGAUUCUGUUUGGCCUUUUGAACAGGUAGUUGAUGCCAUGAAGCAGAUGCAAGAGAAGAAGAAUGUUGGGAAAGUUGUCUUGGUUCCUGAAGUUCCACCGAAGGAUGAAAACAAGAAAACAGAGAAUUAAAGCAAGGGGCAUGGGUGAACUGUUCGACCUCAGGUUGAUUUGGGGAACUUUUUUUUUAACUGCCUCCCCUCCCCCCCCCUACAUCUGACCCUUGAGGGAAGUAGGAAUGGACAGGUCUCUCAAUGCUGUUAAUGGACCAUCAGAAAGCCAUCUACGAAAACGUUGAGACCAUUUCAUUGAGACAAAUAUAUGUGUGUGAGAAUGGAAACCAUCUUUGACAUCCUUUUGGCCCAUCAGCCCUUGAUUGCUCGUAUUAUUUAGGGGGAUCCUCAGCUUACAGGACUAUGUUUAUUUAGCAUGUCUGUUUUGUGAUUAGAACAUUUUCACAAUUCUUGCAUAAUGCUACAGCUUUUCAAUCUUUAGUACUGCAUCUCAUUCCUGAUACGUAAUUGGGGGUACAGGGGACAGAGAUUCAUUUUUUUUUUUAAAAAAAAAGCAUAAAAUGGGACAUCUUACCUUCAAUGUAAUAUAAAUAUUUUCUCUUCCUUCCCAAACAUCCAAUUGCUGAAAGGGUUGCCAUCUUGUUAUUAUGGAAUCAAUAAGAAAAUAUAUUCCAGUAAAGAAGGCUAUUUUAAUAUACCUUGAGAAGGCUAUUUUAAUACACCUUGGCUGUUUUUCUUGUAUAGUCACUGUGGAGAAAAUCUGGCUUGGAAUACCAAACAUCCACUGGAGGGUUCUAAGCAAAAGACGGAAGUUCUGGAAGUGAUUUUUCUUACUGUGGAUCAUUCCUUUUAUUAUUUUGUAUAAAUGUUUUGAGAUUGAUGAGUACAUCAUUUCUAGAGGCUCAAACAAAGGCUACCAAGCAUUUUAAAACAUUAUUUAAUUUGCCAUGUUCUUACUAUGAAAGAUAAUAUAGUACAGGAUACCAAUUAAUUCAUGGGACCCUAGAAUUGGGAAGAACCAAAUAGUUGGUUGUUUCAAGGAAACGAUGCUCAGUGCUAGAGCAUAUGAUUUUUGUGCAGGUAAUUCCAAAUCCAAACCAUGCUAGAUAAAGUUAGGAGAGUGGGGAAGAAUGUUGGCCCAAAAACUUUCAAUGUUUUUUUAAUAGUUUAAUAUAGUGUGAGGCAAAUUCCUAGAACUUCAUACCUUACAGAAGGACAGCUGGUUAGUCAGCCAGCCACUCAUUUAAGUCAAAUGCAACUUUUCCAGUUUGAAGCCCUUCAGAGAUAUUGAACUUCAACUUUCAGCAUUUCCAGUAGAGAGAAUAUCCAGGUUCCAAAUCUGAAGGGCAUUGGGAGGAGAAAAUGCAAAAUCUGAUCUGAUGUGCAGGUGACUCAAUAGAUAUUGGAGACUAAUCUAGAGCAUGAGGCUGUAGCUCUGAUUAUCUGAUGUGGCAUUUCUUCUGCCACUUAUUUUAUACACAACCAUAUACCUUUUGAUAUUUUUAACCAUUUCCCAGGACCUACCAAGGUCCAAUAUUUUAGCUUCUGGUCUUAAGAUUAUAGAUCAGUAGGAGUUUACAGAUCCCAAUUGUAUGAUCAAAAGAGAAAAUGAGUUCCAAAUUUUGUAUGAUCAAAAGAGAAAAUGAGUUCCAAAUUUUGUAUGAUCGAAAGAGAAAAUGAGUUCCAAAUUUUGUUAUUUUAAACACAACAGAGAAAAAAAAGACAUGAUCAGCUGUGGUCUCCCAAGCUCUUACAAAAUAAUGGGGGGAAAGGGUGGGAUGGGGAGAGAAUCUAUUGUAAAACUUCAUGGGUUUAGAUGUUUUUUUUCCCCCAUUCCUUCCUUCUUUGCUGCUGCCUGGUGCCUUAUUUGGGAUCGCAUUCCAAAACAUUUCUAACCUCAUCAUUGUAAAAUUGUAACGAAUAGCUUUGCCUUUAAAGGAACUUAUAUGCUGCAUGGUUAUUCCCAAUUUAUUGUGCCUUGUUCCAAACAGUGAGUAAGGUCUAAUUCAAGAAUUUGCCAAUGUUGACUUGUUAAAAAGGAAUGCCCCAUCCCAAGGAAAUGGUGUGAAAUGUACGGAUGGCUUUUGUUCCUUAAUCAAUGAGGACACCUGCAUAAUAGGAUGUGUUAUUACAGAAAUGCAUACAUUUUGAUGCUAUUAACGGAUACAAUGAAUUCUCCUAGAUACGUUCAACCUUCCUUAUGAGAGCCAUCAGAUAAUUUUUGCAUAAUACUAUGAAAGUAUGGUUUAAAUCUCCUGACCACUAUUUCUGAACCUUAAUGGCUGGAAACUAUUUUUAAAUUGAGUAGACGUAUGGCUUAAUGAACCCCUGUCACAUGAUAAAUAUGGAGAACCUGAAUUCUGUUAAUAGUAUAAUUUGUGGAACUUUCCAUUGGUUGAAACAAAACUAACUCUUUCCUGUAGUGUGCUCCAGUGCCUUUGGGAAGAAAUAGGCCAAAUAUAGCUUUCCAUGUAUUUCCAAAGGCACCACAAAGGAAAAACUUUUUUAACCCGAAGCAGCAGCAAGUGAUAUCCUGUUCCCUUCCUGCAGCCUUGCUCUCUCAUGCUGGAAUCUGACAGUUUUUAAAUGUUCUUCCUGAACAGAAAAGAUCUUUAUCUUUAUGCUAAAGUGGUUGUGUCUUACUACUACUCAGCUGUAGUUCUUUUAUACAGAAAACAUCAAAUUUUAAAGCACUAUAACUAUACUGUUUGUUGCCUUGCUGAUUAAUAUUGUAAUCUUGAACUUUUUAUCAUCUUUUUUAUUUUGCUUGAUUGCGUGUAUGUGUGUGUGCAUGCAUGUAUGUAUUUCAGACUAUGGUUUUAUGGGCCAUUUGUAAUAAUAAAGCCUUUUAAUCUCCUCUCCCCACUUUAAAAUUAAAAUCACUUGUCUUAACUAGUUAAAACAAUGUGCUUACCCUCAGAGUUAAAAAUGUGUGGGGGUGAGAUGAGGGGAUUUUCUUGAAUUGUCCAUAAAACAGAAUACAACGACAACAUUUAUCACAAGAAGCCUUUCUUGAUAGUGUUCUUGCAGAAUUCAAGAUAGCUGGUAGAUAAAACUCCAAAAUGAUGCUGCCUAGAUUGCCAUGUGUAUGGCCGAUAGAGCAGUUUAAUUGAAAAAGUGCCAUAUUUCCUGCUCAAUGAGCAACAUGUAGCCUGAAUAUUAUUGAAGGCCCAAAGAGCAUAUUUUGAAAAGCCUGUUUCCUAGGGCUGAAGUGGUCCUCAGUGGCAUGAACUAACAGCAGCCCUCUUACACAACAGCUCCCACAACUUGAUCUGGCAGUUCAUACCAGCCCACCUUAUUUAGGGAUCUCCUCAAAUAAAGAAGUGAAAGAGGCAAAGGCAAAGCUCCCUCAGGGAAAUGAUUUGCAAUGUGCCAAAGUUAACAUCACAGCUGUCUUUAGAGAGAUAUAAAAAUACUUCUAGAAUGAAUGAAAUCUCUCUCUAAUUUUUGUAAAUGUUCUCAAUUAUAGAUAGCAUAGUAUGUGAUGUUGGUGGGAAAGUCACUCAGAGAUGUCUGUGGAGAUUCUCAGUCGUCCAGGCUAUGGUUGUCCCAAAGGUGCUUUUUUACCCAAAAGACAACUGGACUUUCUUGUUGUUGCUGGGGUUUUUUUUUUUAAAAAUGUUUCACUUCUCAUCUGAGAAACCAAGAAAGUCAGCUUUGGGUCAUAGAGAGAUAAAAUACCCCAGAAUGUAAAACAACAAGCUUUACACUCCUUUUGUAUUGUCUUUGAUUAUCAGGAUGACUGAGUUCAACUGUCCCUCAGAUUUAAACAUUUCAGAAUUCUCAGUUCAGAGGUAAACAAAUUCUUUAAGAUUUGUUUCACUUUUUUUUAGUUAAGUCUCUGAUAUAAAAACAUUUAAAAUAUUUUCUCUUCAUUAUCAUCAAUUAGCUUUUCCUUUUGUUUUUAAAGUGGCAUUUGGCAUUUUGUUAGGCUUGGUUCACCUGUCUGAGAUGGUAUAGGUUCUCCUGCUUGAGCAGGGGGCUGGACUAGAAGACCUCUAAGGUCCCUUCCAGUUUUAUUCUAUUCUAAAAAAAAAAUCCCCAAAAGAGUAUUUAAUCACCACUGGGAGAGAUAUUAGUAAUGAAAGCUAAAGUCAAGGUAAUUGUGGGUCUUUCAAAGGCAGGAGAAGCUCUCCCUUUGUCAAAGCAGGGGUGUUUUUACUUGCAUGAUUGUUUUAGUAUGAUGUAGGCUUGAAUGACAAGCAAUGGAUAUCCUGGCCCUGCAGAGCCAGCUGUGGAAUCACCACUGUUGCCAAAUACAGUAGAUUUCCCCCAAGCUAAGGAGUUACUGAUGAAGAAAGGCUGCUGGCAGUGAGGGCAGGCUGCAUAGUCCCCUAUUACCUGGUGACAGCACCUGCCCACCUCCUCUGCUUUGGGUGGUCCACAAACAGCUUGUGUGUCUUUAUGGUUCAAGAUGCUUUUUCAAGUCUUUAUGGUAUUUGAAAAGAAGUCCUCUUCUGCUUGUGCCUGCUUGUGUGCCUGCGUGUAUGUGUGUAUCAACAAAGCAAAUGUGCCAAUGCUGUUUACAGAUUCAGACAUGAAAUUGUUAAUCUGCCUACUGUUACCAUAUGCCUUAUGUGUUUAUUGGGUGUCUCAUUAAAAGCAUAACAAAAAUGAAAAA